rnacentral:ribozyme from 1 species
ACAGAUAAUGAUAAUGAAGAGUCAAAAGCUGAAGAAUCAGAAGAAGCAAAGCGCGAGAGAAGAAGAAAAUCCAAAAAUGCCAAAUCAAGUUUUUCUAUGGUUGGGUCUAUGAUUCCUGGAGCUUCAAAUUACUUU